rnacentral:lncRNA from 1 species
GUAGCCAUGCUAUAUAUAGUGUAUCUAGUAGCCAUGCUAUAUAUAGUGUAGAGGCCAUGCCAUAUAUAGUGUAUCUAGUAGCCAUGCUAUAUAUAGUGUAGAGGCCAUGCCAUAUAUAGUGUAUCCAGUAGCCAUGCUAUAUAUAGUGUAGAGGCCAUGCUAUAUAUAGUGUAUCCAGCAGCCAUGCCAUAUAUAGUGUAUCCAGCAGCCACGCCAUAUAUAGUGUAUCUAGUAGCCAUGCCAUAUAUAGUGUAGAGGCCAUGCCAUAUAUAGUGUAUCCAGUAGCCAUGCCAUAUAUAGUGUAUCCAGUAGCCAUGCCAUAUAUAGUGUAUCUAGCAGCCAUGCUAUAUAUAGUGUAGAGGCCAUGCCAUAUAUAGUGUAUCUAGUAGCCAUGCCAUAUAUAGUGUAGAGACCAUGCCAUAUAUAGUGUAUCUAGUAGCCAUGCCAUAUAUAGUGUAGAAGCCAUGCCAUAUAUAUGUAGUCCAGUAGCCAUGCUAUAUAUAGUGUAUCCAGCAGCCAUGCUC